GACGAACGCUGGCGGCGUGCUUAACACAUGCAAGUCGAACGGAAAGGCCCUGCUUUUGUGGGGUGCUCGAGUGGCGAACGGGUGAGUAACACGUGAGUAACCUGCCCUUGACUUUGGGAUAACUUCAGGAAACUGGGGCUAAUACCGGAUAGGAGCUCCUGCUGCAUGGUGGGGGUUGGAAAGUUUCGGCGGUUGGGGAUGGACUCGCGGCUUAUCAGCUUGUUGGUGGGGUAGUGGCUUACCAAGGCUUUGACGGGUAGCCGGCCUGAGAGGGUGACCGGCCACAUUGGGCCUGAGAGACGGACCAGACUCCUACGGGAGGCAGCAGUGGGGAAUAUUGCACAAUGGGCGGAAGCCUGAUGCAGCAACGCCGCGUGCGGGAUGACGGCCUUCGGGUUGUAAACCGCUUUCGCCUGUGACGAAGCGUGAGUGACGGUAAUGGGUAAAGAAGCACCGGCUAACUACGUG
rnacentral:rRNA from 1 species